UACGUAGGGUCCGAGCGUUGUCCGGAAUUAUUGGGCGUAAAGGGCGCGUAGGCGGGAUGGCAAGUCGGUCGUGAAAUCCUUCGGCUCAACCGAAGAACGUCGAUCGAUACUGCUGUUCUUGAGGGUUGCAGAGGAGACUGGAAUUCCCGGUGUUAGCGGUGAAAUGUGUAGAGAUCGGGAGGAACACCGGUGGCGAAGGCGGGUCUCUGGGCAAUUCCCUGACGCUGAGGCACGAAGGUCAGGGGAGCAAACGG
rnacentral:rRNA from 1 species